UACGAAGGGGGCUAGCGUUGCUCGGAAUUACUGGGCGUAAAGGGCUCGUAGGCGGCCAACUAAGUCCGACGUGAAAUCCCCAGGCUUAACCUGGGAACUGCGUCGGAUACUGGAUGGCUUGAAUUCGGGAGAGGGAUGCGGAAUUCCAGGUGUAGCGGUGAAAUGCGUAGAUAUCUGGAGGAACACCGGUGGCGAAGGCGGGUCUCUGGGCCGAUGAUUGACGCUGGAGGAGCGAAAGCGUGGGGAGCAAACAGG
rnacentral:rRNA from 1 species